rnacentral:lncRNA from 1 species
GUCUAUGGGAGUUUAUUUGCAGGUAUGCACCCUAUAGACCGAGGUUUCGAAACAGCUUGCAUGCUGCCAAUCGAGCGACACAUGAGGGCAGCAUUCAACAACAACAUAAACACGCGACUCGUGUAAAUCUGCCGCUACCCGUAUUCUUCUGACUCUGGUCUGAGUGGCUGAAAACUUUCUUAUUUAUUAGUAUUACGUCAGUAUCAGUACUACAAGUUUGUUUUCAUUAAAGCUGCCAAGAAGAUAAGGAGGAGGCAUUGAAAGUACUCAACGGACACAAAUGGAAAGGACAAGUGCUCAAAGCCAAGGUUAAACAACACAGUGACUCCACUAUGGAACCAGCUGUAUGAGGACCAGCUAUCCACCAAACAGACCAACACCAGGGAGUGUUUUGUCUUGAUGCAUGGCCAGUGCAUGGAAGGACGGCAACCGGCAUGUCGGGUGUGUUCAGGGUCUGUGACUGAUUCCUAUUCGGUUAAACAACACGGUGACUCCACUGUGGAACCAGCCGUAUGAGGACCAGCUUUCCACCAAACAGACCAACACCAGGGAGUUUCUGAGGAAUUUAUCCAAGAUGCUGCAAUGGAACAUUGGGGAGAUGUCUCCCUGGCUGAAGCAACAAAGGUUAAACAACAUGGUGACUCCACUGUGGAACCAGCCGUAUGAGGACCAGCUAUCCACCAAACAGACCAACACCAGGGAGUUUCUGAGGAAUUUAUCCAAGAUGCUGCAACGGAACAUUGGGGAGAUGUCUUCCUGGCUGAAGCAA